rnacentral:rRNA from 1 species
CUACGGGACGCUGCAGUGGGGAAUCUUAGACAAUGGGCGCAAGCCUGAUCUAGCCAUGCCGCGUGAGUGAUGAAGGCCUUAGGGUCGUAAAGCUCUUUCGCUGGGGAAGAUAAUGACGGUACCCAGUAAAGAAACCCCGGCUAACUCCGUGCCAGCAGCCGCGGUAAUACGGAGGGGGUUAGCGUUGUUCGGAAUUACUGGGCGUAAAGCGCGCGUAGGCGGACUGUUAAGUCGGGGGUGAAAUCCCGGGGCUCAACCCCGGAACGGCCUUCGAUACUGGCAGUCUGGAGUUCGAGAGAGGUGAGUGGAAUUCCGAGUGUAGAGGUGAAAUUCGUAGAUAUUCGGAGGAACACCAGUGGCGAAGGCGGCUCACUGGCUCGAUACUGACGCUGAGGUGCGAAAGUGUGGGGAGCAAACAGGAUUAGAUACCCCCGUAGUC